rnacentral:rRNA from 1 species
GUGCCUAAUACAUGCAAGUAGAACGCUGAAGAGAGGAGCUUGCUCUUCUUGGAUGAGUUGCGAACGGGUGAGUAACGCGUAGGUAACCUGCCUUGUAGCGGGGGAUAACUAUUGGAAACGAUAGCUAAUACCGCAUAACAAUGGAUGACACAUGUCAUUUAUUUGAAAGGAGCAAUUGCUCCACUACAAGAUGGACCUGCGUUGUAUUAGCUAGUAGGUGAGGUAACGGCUCACCUAGGCGACGAUACAUAGCCGACCUGAGAGGGUGAUCGGCCACACUGGGACUGAGACACGGCCCAGACUCCUACGGGAGGCAGCAGUAGGGAAUCUUCGGCAAUGGGGGCAACCCUGACCGAGCAACGCCGCGUGAGUGAAGAAGGUUUUCGGAUCGUAAAGCUCUGUUGUAAGUCAAGAACGAGUGUGAGAGUGGAAAGUUCACACUGUGACGGUAGCUUACCAGAAAGGGACGGCUAACUACGUGCCAGCAGCCGCGGUAAUACGUAGGUCCCGAGCGUUGUCCGGAUUUAUUGGGCGUAAAGCGAGCGCAGGCGGUUUGAUAAGUCUGAAGUUAAAGGCUGUGGCUCAACCAUAGUUCGCUUUGGAAACUGUCAAACUUGAGUGCAGAAGGGGAGAGUGGAAUUCCAUGUGUAGCGGUGAAAUGCGUAGAUAUAUGGAGGAACACCGGUGGCGAAAGCGGCUCUCUGGUCUGUAACUGACGCUGAGGCUCGAAAGCGUGGGGAGCGAACAGGAUUAGAUACCCUGGUAGUCCACGCCGUAAACGAUGAGUGCUAGGUGUUGGAUCCUUUCCGGGAUUCAGUGCCGCAGCUAACGCAUUAAGCACUCCGCCUGGGGAGUACGACCGCAAGGUUGAAACUCAAA